UACAGAAAAAGAUAAAAUAAAAAACUAAGUCAUCUGUAACAUGAUAGAGGUAGUACCAAUUGAGGACAAAUUGAUAAUGAAGAUUUAGAUGAUUUGGAUAUGUACAAAGUAGGCCAUGGGAUGCACCAGUAAGAAGGAAUAGUUUGACACAUGUAGAAGCAAAGAGAGAAGUAUAUCAAAAAUCAAACGGGAUGCAGUAAUAAGGAAGGACUUGAUAUUUCUAUAUUUUUUCAAAAAUUGUGGCCCUAAAUAGAGCACGGAAUAGAUGAAGGGGAUUUAUGAGCCACCCAACUUGUUCAGGAUUAAGGAUUAUUUGAGUUGAGUUGAGUUUUGUAGUGAUAAUAAUUAGCUGGUUAAUUAUCAACCAUAAGACUGUGACUGAGGAUGAUAAAGCAUCGUUUCUCGAUGUCUUGAGGUCCAAUUGACAAAAACCUUAGAUAACAAUAAAGUGGAGGAAAGGUUGAGACAUAUGGUGGGGCGAGGGUGAUUUGAGCUGUUUUGUUUGUAGCGAAAUGCAAGAAUUUUUAGUAGAAAAAAAGAGAGUCCAGUCAGUCAGAGUUUGAUUGAAGGGAAGAUACAAAAUAUGCAGGAAAUCAAAAGGAGAUAACAGGCUUGUUCAGAAGACUAAAUCUUGUAUCUGCAUGCUAUAAGUUAUAUC
rnacentral:lncRNA from 1 species